rnacentral:rRNA from 1 species
AGGAUGAACGCUGGCGGCGUGCCUUAAGCAUGCAAAUCAAGGGGAGAUGUACCGCAAGGUACAUCUAACCGGUGGACGGGUGAGUAACGCGUGGGAAUCUACCUUAAAGUUGGACAUAGCUCGGCGAAAGUCGGGGUAAUUUCCAAUGUAGACGUAAGUCCAAAGCAGCAAUGCGCUUUAAGAUGAACCUGCGUCCUAUCAGCUAGUUGGUGGGGUAAUGGCCUACCAAGGCAUCGACGGGUAGCUGGACUGAGAGGUCGGUCAGCCACAAUAGCACUGCGACACGGGCUAUACACCUACGGGUGGCAGCAACUAGGAAUAUUCGGCAAUGGGCGAAAGCCUGACCGAGCGACGCCGCGUGGAGGAUUGAAGGCCUUCGGGUUGUAAACUCCUUUUGUAAGGGAAGAUUAUGACGGUACCUUACGAAUAAGCACCUGCUAACUACGUGCCAGAAGCCUCGGUAAUACGUAGGGUGCAAGCGUUAUCCGGAUUUAUUGGGCGUAAAGUAUUGCGUAGGCGUCCCGCAGCAUCUCAUUUGAAAUACCUUGACUCAAUCAGGGUCUUGGAUGAGAGAUGUGCGGGAUAGAUGGUAUGAGAGGGUGCUGGAACCGACGGUGUAGCAGUGAAAUGCGUUGAUAUCGUCGGGAACACCAAAGGCGUAGGCAGGCACCUGGAAUACACAUGACGCUGAGGCAUGAAAGCUAGGGGAGCGAAGCAGAUUAGAGACCUGCGUAGUCCUAGCCGUAAACUAUGUCUGCUAGAUAUCCCGAUUUAAUCGGGGCGUCGUAGCUAACGCGCUAAGCAGACCGCCUUGGGAGUACGAGCGCAAGCUUAAAACUCAAAGGAAUUGACGGGGACCCGCACAAGCAGUGGAGCGUGUGGUUUAAUUCGAUACAAAGCGAAAAACCUCACCAGGGCUUGACAUCCCGACGUUCUAUUUCCUGGAAACAGGAGAAAUCCGUAAGGAGGUCGGGACAGAUACUGCAUGGCUGUCGUAAGCUCGUGGCGUGAGCUGUACCCUUAAGUGGGGUAACGAGCGCAACCCGCACCGUAUGUUAAAUAAUUCAUGCGGAACAGUCCCGAUUUAAUCGGGAAGGAAGGCGCGGAUGACGUCAAGUCAGCACGGUUCUUACGCCCUGGGCUACACACACCCUACAAUGGUGAAAAACAACGAGUUGCAAGCCGGUAACGGUAAGCUAAUCUCUUAAAUUUCACCUCAGUUCAGAUCGGGGUCUGCAACCUGACCCCGUGAAGUCGGAAUUGCUAGUAAUCGCGGAUCAGCGUGCCGCGGUGAAUACGUUCUCGGGUCUUGUACACACCGCCCGUCAAGGCAGGAAAGUUGGGGGCACCUGAACCCCGAUUUAUCGGGGGAGGGUGAAACCAGCGAUCAGGCUUAAGUCGUAACAAGGUAUCCCUAGCCGAAGCUGGGG